GUGGGGAAUCUUGCGCAAUGGGCGAAAGCCUGACGCAGCCAUGCCGCGUGAAUGAUGAAGGUCUUAGGAUUGUAAAAUUCUUUCACCGGGGACGAUAAUGACGGUACCCGGAGAAGAAGCCCCGGCUAACUUCGUGCCAGCAGCCGCGGUAAUACGAAGGGGGCUAGCGUUGCUCGGAAUUACUGGGCGUAAAGGGCGCGUAGGCGGACAGUUUAGUCAGAGGUGAAAGCCCAGGGCUCAACCUUGGAAUUGCCUUUGAUACUGGCUGUCUUGAGUACGGGAGAGGUGAGGGGAACUCCGAGUGUAGAGGUGAAAUUCGUAGAUAUUCGGAAGAACACCAGUGGCGAAGGCGACUCACUGGCCCGUUACUGACGCUGAGGCGCGAAAGCGUGGGGAGCAAACAGGAUUAGAUACCCGAGUAGUCC
rnacentral:rRNA from 1 species